GACAGAGGGUGCAAACGUUGUUCGGAAUUACUGGGCGUAAAGCGCGUGUAGGCGGCAGCGCAAGUCGGAUGUGAAAUCCCAUGGCUCAACCAUGGAAGUGCACCCGAAACUGCGUCGCUAGAGUCCUGGAGAGGAAGGUGGAAUGCUUGGUGUAGAGGUGAAAUUCGUAGAUAUCAAGCGGAACACCGGUGGCGAAGGCGGCCUUCUGGACAGUGACUGACGCUGAGACGCGAAAGCGUGGGGAGCAAACGGG
rnacentral:rRNA from 1 species